GGGGUUGUGGCUCAGUGGCAGAGCACUUGCCUCACACGUGUGAGACACUGGGUUCGAUUCUCAGCACCA
rnacentral:tRNA from 1 species